ensembl:snRNA U6 U6 spliceosomal RNA
GUGCUCACUUUGGCAGCACAUAUACUAAAAUUGGAAUGAUGCAGAGAAGGUGAGCAUGGCCCUUGGGCAAGGAUGACACGCAAAUUUCUGAAAUAUUCCAUAUUAAA